rnacentral:rRNA from 1 species
CCUACGGGUGGCAGCAGUGGGGAAUAUUGCACAAUGGGGGAAACCCUGAUGCAGCGACGCCGCGUGAGCGAUGAAGUAUUUCGGUAUGUAAAGCUCUAUCAGCAGGGAAGAAAAUGACGGUACCUGACUAAGAAGCCCCGGCUAACUACGUGCCAGCAGCCGCGGUAAUACGUAGGGGGCAAGCGUUAUCCGGAUUUACUGGGUGUAAGGGUAGCGUAGACGGUCCUGCAAGCCAGAUGUGAAAGCCCGGGGCGCAACCCCGGGACUGCAUUUGGAACUGUAAGGCUUGAGGGUCGGAGAGGCAGGCGGAAAUCCUAGUGGAGCGGUGAAAUGCGUAGAAAUUAGGAGGAACACCAGUGGCGAAGGCGGCCUGCUGGACGAUGACUGACGUUGAGGCUCGAAAGCGUGGGGAGCAAACAGGAUUAGAUACCCUUGUAGUC